GGCAACUUGGCCGAGUGGUCUAAGGCGCUGGAAUUAGGUAAUUGCUUACGUAAUCCAGUCCGCAAGGGCGUGAGUUCGAACCUCACAGUUGUCA